rnacentral:tRNA from 1 species
GGCUCUGUAGCUCAGUAGGUAGAGCAACGGUUUGAAGCACCGUGUGUCACUGGUUCGAUUCCUGUCGGAGCCGCCA